rnacentral:rRNA from 1 species
UACGGGGGGAGCAAGCGUUGUUCGGAUUUACUGGGCGUAAAGCGUGCGUAGGCUGUUUUGUAAGUCAGAAGUGAAAUCCUGGGGCUCAACCUCAGAACUGCUUUUGAUACUGCAAGACUAGAGUGUGUGAGGGGAUGGCGGAAUUCCUAGUGUAGUAGUGAAAUACGUAGAUAUUCGGAAGAACACCAGUGGCGAAGGCGACUCGCUGGACAGGUAUUGACGCUGAGGUGCGAAAGCGUGGGGAGCAAACAGG